UAAACAGUGCAUCAAAGUCCAAAACUGUGUAAGUGAAGUUAAGAGGAAACAAAACGCCGACACCCGACUGUUCAAGAAACCCUCUGGUUACAAAAAGGUAGCUUAUUUUCAACUCGACCGCGGAGCUUCUCCGUCCCUCCACAAACAGAUCCGUAGAAACACACGCUGCUGUCUUCUGUUCAUUGCAAAGGUGAAACGAAUAAGAUUAAAACGAACAAAGAGAAACUUCUGUAAGUGUACCAUGAAGGUUUUACUCCACAGAUAGGGUAGAGAGCGAGAGGGGAGAGAGGGAGAGGGACAGCGAAUGGGAACACAAGGCACGCAAGAAAACAGCUCUGAAGAAACGGUAAAGUGGACACUUGGACAUUCAAAGUGCGAGCGCCCAGCGACUGGUUGGUAUUACUUAGGAUCGGCGGUUUCUCAGUUUGGUCCGUGUUCGAAAGAAACGGGGGAAAUCAUCUAACCGCAAGUAUAUGAGGCUCUGUUGAUGAUCUGUGAUAGGCUGGCCUUCACGGCGGAUAAAGUCAGAUUCCCAAAGAUGAUCUGAUAUGUGGCUUUAGGUGGAAAAACACAUGCACAUGGUUUGAUUACGCUUUUACACACAUACUGAUACAUAGAAUGUAAAAAAGCACCUGUAUCUGUGUUUACAUGUCACCCUCCUGCACUGUACAUUGAGCGUCGCUCUAUCAGAUCUAUCUGUCUGCAAAGGAAAGAAUGCAGCCAUCAUUCCUCAAAGCAAGACCCUUUUUCACAUAAUAGUAAAAAAACUGUAUAUUUUGAUAAAUAGGGUUAGGUUAUUACAGCUUUAUUUAAAAAAAACAAGGAAUCAGAGAAACAGCUUGUUUUCAAAAGUGAAAGAGGACCGAUUAUAGGCAGCUGUGGCACUCCAAAUGUUCCUCUCCACCCCAUGGUUAGGACAGCAGUUAGUGAGGGACUUCCUGCAUGGAAAGUUGUGUAUGUUUUCCUUCAGUGAAUUGAACAUCCUGCAGAUCUUAAAUUCCAGUCAGCAGUAAACUCUCUGACCUCUGAGCACAAAAUUAGGCACAUCAUAUAAGCAAGAGACAGCAUAGAAAGGAAGGACUGCAAAGCAGGACGAAAUGACAGCGAUAAAAGGAACAAUGAGAGAUUACUUCAGUGCAAUUUUUCUUAAUUACUUAUUUUAUGAAUAGGAAAGUUGAUCAUUAAGCUAAUUUUGGUACCUGGUGGCAAACAUAUUUUGCCUUAAAGCUAAUCACUGGAAGAAAUUAAUUUAUCAUGACAAAUGCAUGCAACAAGAGGGUCAUCUAAUACUGUUAGUCCAUUCUAUGUUUGAAAACACAGUGAUGCCACAAAAGUGUCAGAUUUCAUCUACUAUUACAUGGACAGCAUUGUCAUUUCCAACAUAUGCGGUGAACCCUGUCUGCCAAUGUGUUUAUUGAGCUAUUAUCAAUUGACUGAUGAAACAAACUGCUCACCAGUCAACAUAUGUUCCUGAUUUGCUGGAUUUAUUUGAUUUAAAACCAUGUGUUUUCUGUUGUGAAAUGAUCCUGGAGGUUUGUCACAUAGCAUUCUUUGUGGAUCACAAGCAUUGGAUUGUUGGUAAAACUAUAAUUUUACAAUUGCAAGUUUUUUUUGUUUUUUAGGAUCAGAAGCGGUGGGGGAUAUUCCUGAAGAACAGAUGGGAAUUUUAUCAAUGGAGUGUAUUUUCUUAAUAUACUGUAUAGGGCUUCAGACAGACUAAAUAUGAAUUGAAAUGUGUUGUUUAUUCUCUUUGUACCACAUUCAUAAUAUAUAUUUAAUAGCUAAGCAUUCAAUGUUUGUGAUCUGUCAUUUUGUCCUGAAAUAUGCCCAUUUUGCUAGUCAUCUAUCAGAAAGAGCUCAAAGGUAAGUGGCCUCCCUUUAGCCUUAAGGGCCUGUACUUUCUUAUUUGUUUACCUGCACCACAGGUGCACAACAACUGAUAAUUUCAGAGAUCAUAAAUACUAAAAUAAAAGAAUGUGGGUUUUUUUUCAUGCACAAAUUGUAACAUG